GUGACAUCAGCGGUCAUGGAGAGUCUCCAUCCAGCUGGAUCACUGUCACAGACAAACACACCACCACACCUCCACCUACAUCCACACCUCCACCUACAUCCACCUCUGCUCCUGAUUCCACCUCCAUCACUCUUCUUCCAUCACUCUCUCCUCCCGUUCUCUCUGUGUUGUCAUUUGUUGGAUCAGUCUGUGUUCUGGUUCUGCUGGUGUUACUGGUUCUGCUGGUGAGACGAUGUGUUCACAGGAAACCUGAAGCAGAUCAAGAAGAAAGUGAAGAAGACGACCUCAUCACUUAUGUCAUCAUUGAGAUAUCAGCUCAUCAAGAACAAUCUGACAAAGAAAGACGAGAUAUUUAUUUUGUAGCUGUGGUCUACUCAGCAGUGAGAACUGAAGACGUCAGUUAUGGAAAAACAACCAUCAGAACAAGGAGGCCCAGACUUUAAACCAGAGCCAGACGUCGUCUACUCUUCACUGAAGUAGUCCACCAGUCCAACCACUGACGUCCAGCUGCUGGUCUCUAACUGGUCCCCCGAGCAUCUCAGACUAGAGUAAAAGAAAAUAGAUAAAACACAUUUUUAUAUGUUUUAUGUCAUUUUUUGUGUAUUUUUUAUUGGAAUAUUUCAUAUUUUUUUAGGCUAAAUGAGUAAUGUACAAAGGGCCUAUACACCAGUAAAGAUUAGUUAGUGAUAUCAUAAUUCAGAAUCUAUUCAGUAACAAACACAAUGUGGUGAUAAGUAUAACAAAGUUAGAAAAUCUGCAUCUGGUUAAAAGGAAAAAACACACAAACAUGAAAGAGUUUGCCAGAUUUGUACUCUGUCAUAGCAGCAUGACAGUCGUACUAAUCUAUUGAUUAUACAAACCAAUUUGUGCUGCUGCUAUUUUCAGAAACUAAUAAAUGUCCAUUUAGAUAAGAGGGAUGAAUUUAAAUCUCAGUGGGUAUAACACUCCUGUGACUUGGCUGGGAGCAUCUUAGGAUCACCAUGGAGGAUGUGUUUUUAACUUUCUGUGAAAAAUAAAGUCUGAAAUUCUGUGAUA